rnacentral:lncRNA from 1 species
GUUUGAAUCUGCGCAGGCGUGAGCCUCUGUCUAGUCUGGAGAGUCACCGGGAGUUGGAGGACUAUGGAUACGGCUCCCCUCAAGGCUUCCUGGUGGGCUGACACCACCCCUAAGGCCAGCAGCCAAGAGGCUUGGCGGACUCUUCAACUCAGCCAACCCAGGAGCUGCUCAGCCCCCAGGAAAGAAAACUGUGAGUGUCCUACCAGGCAGCAGCACUGAGAGGGGGAAACUAACACACACACACACAGGCGCACACAUACACACAGAGAUUCACACACACACAUGCACGUACACAUGCACACACACAGAUUCACACACACAUGCACACACAGAUUCACACACACAUGCACAGAUUCACACACGCACAAAUGCACACACACAGAUUCACACAAAAAUGCACACACAUACACAGAUUAUCUCACACACACACAAUGCACACACACAAAUUCUCACACACAUGCACGCACACACAUGUACAAACACACACAUACUGCAUGCUGCAAAACAAGAAUUAAGUCUGGGGCUGGGCGUAGUGGCUCACACCUAUAAUCCCAGUGCUUUGGGAGGCCAAGAAGGGAGGAUUACUUGACUCCAGGAGUUCAAGACCAGCCUGGGCAACAUAGCGAGGCCCAUGUCUACAAAAAAAAAAAAAAAGAAGAAGAAGGAUUAAGUCUAUAUCCUUGGUCACUGAUCUGUGGGAAGAUAAAUGGGACAUGUCCAUAUGUGUACACAAAACUACCUGGAGAGUGAUAAAAUUUAGUCACAUAAUUUUAAAACUGAGAGCAGGGACAUAAUCGUUGUUCAAUAAACGCCAAUUGCUUGAUGAGAGCAGAAUAAAGGUAGUGGCAUCUUCACAAAGAGAAGGGAAAGAGGCCAGAGAGAGAG